rnacentral:sRNA from 1 species
AUGUGCCACGCGUACGCUGCGGUUCUGAGCGCGCCAUCCGCGCCCACCUGACCGCUGCUCGCUACGUUUUUGUUGUCG